UAUACUUGUUUAGCCUCUGUUCACCCAUUUAAUUUUCUUAUUGGAAUCCUCGGGAAUUUAUUAGGUUUAUUCCAUGGAGACAGGCUUGUAAGCAGGAUAUGUGCUAAAGUAGAACGGUGAAUACGAGAAGAAACAUUUGUGAAGGAAUUCAAGAUGAGUGGAUUGCCUUCACUCAUUGAUAAGUUAGUGAAAUUCUUAACUCUAUUGAAGUCUGCAGAUGGCAAACAAAAGUCCCAGAUAGUGAAUCUGGUGCAAGAUAUUGCAGCAAUUAUCACACACGAUGUUAUGGUUGAUGGCCAUUUGUUUCAGCAAACACCUUAGCAAUAUUGUGCAAUGAGAAAGGAGAUGUU